CGUUCAUCCUUAUUCUCCUCGCAUUUUUGUUUAUUUUCUUUAAUUUCUUUCGUUUUCUUGGUGAAUUUUGUACUACAUGCUUGUGGUUGAUUGUUUAAAUUCUUCUACUGAAGUACACUAAACUUUCCAUCAGAAAGAGAAAAUGGUACUUAAUGAAAAGAAAAGAAUGUUGAUGCAGCAAAGGUGUUUGACAAUAUGCCUCAAGUACGAAUUAAUUCUUUUGUUCAUGCUUUUUUGCUAGGUCAUCAAAAGAAGUUGUCUGAGAUCAUAUGAAUGGAUUGUUGGUUUUCUGUGGUAAUAGGAAGUUCUACCCUAAAGUUUACAGGAUAGCUUCCUGUUACGUAUGAAUAAAGACUCGAUCGGACAUGGAAGGCGGUCUUCAUGUUCUAUGGUUGGAACUGCCGUCGUGAUACGAGGUGAUGGAAGAUUAGUACUCGGAAGAAUGGGAUCAUUGUGUGAGCUGAUUUGGGAACUUACCUCUCAAGGCUUUGAAGUUAUUUUGGUAACCUCAGGUGCCGUUGGUGUUGGCCGUCAUUGGAAGCUCAUUAACAACAGAUUCAGCUUCCAAGGAAAAAGGGAAGAAAAGGAAGAAGAAUAUGGAAAAAUGAUCUUGGCUAAAGGGUAGCCAACAGGACAAGCUUUGCGAAAAGUUUAAUGGUUCUUGGUCAAAACCUUAAUUUGUGAUAGUCAUUGAAGGAAGACUUUUGAAUGACUGGGAUUUUCUUUGCAUCAACAAUAGAAGAUAUAUUUAAUUUUUGAGCUCCUCUUUAUUUAACUGGAACUACAAUAAUUAUAAAUUUCUUUUAUGUAUGUUAUGUAUUGUGUAAUGACAAUUAGAAUGUUUUUGAUAUAAGUGUAGAUACGUUUAUUACGUAACAAGGU